rnacentral:rRNA from 1 species
UACGGAGGAUCCAAGCGUUAUCCGGAUUUAUUGGGUUUAAAGGGUGCGUAGGCGGCUUGUUAAGUCAGGGGGUGAAAAUUUUUUCGGCUCAACCGGAAACUUGCCUUUGAUACUGAUGAGCUUGAAUACACUAGGAGGUAGGCGGAAUGUGACAAGUAGCGGUGAAAUGCAUAGAUAUGUCACAGAACACCGAUUGCGAAGGCAGCUUACUAUGGUGUCAUUGACGCUGAGGCACGAAAGCGUGGGGAUCAAACAGG